rnacentral:lncRNA from 1 species
GUAAGUUCUUAUAAUUCAGAUGUUUAAAUGUUCAAUUUGAAAGUAUUUUUUACUCGGUGUAAUGAUUUUGCUGUUUUUACUCAGUGUAAUUUCGCACGUUAUUAUCUAAACAAAUCGCAUGUUUAUAAUUGAGCUCCGUUUCGAGGCAAGUUGCACGUUAUUAUCUAGCGAUUGUCAUUAUUUAUCAUGUUCCAAAAUAUAGAACGUUCAUAUGAAAGAACAAAUGGCGUCGAUUGUUAAAACAUUCACUUGACCAUCCAUUAACUUUUUUUUAAUGUGUUGUCAUCUUACCCUUGCUUUGUAAAAUAUUUAAAUGGCAUCGCUUUGAUCUUUCAACUUUGAGUCACUAUAUGCUAUGAAUUCAGGUUUUUUUUGGCAGUUUUGGUCGUUGCCCGCACCCACCCCAUCGGUUUAGAUUCGGGUCCAUCUCCCUUUUUACGUCAAGUGAAUCACUUGGUGUUAUAAAUGUGUGAUUUUGUUUUGGUGGUCGUUGGUUUGCUACUUAGCAUGUUUUUACGGUGUUAUGUCCCUAGUCCAAAAAUGUGGGGGGCUUAGUUUUAGUAUACACAGUAUAAUUUAUCGACAUUUUAGCUACAAUUAUUUUGUGCUGUUGUGAAUUUUUUAUCUUUUUUGUGUAUUUUUUUUUAUCUUUUGUCUAUUUUUUGGUUUUUGUUUUUCUUUUUAAGUUCCAAUCGAACUUGUAUUUGUACAAGUAACAAAACAAACAGUCUAAUACUGGCAGAAUAACGUCAAUUAGGAAUUAAUAUUCGUUUUUUUUUCAAUAGAUAUAAACACAUCUCGGUAUUUUUUGGUAUUAUCAUUAUUUUUAAUUUGUUUCUCUCGGUAAGUGCCGGUAUCUUAAUGAACCAAACCAAUACCAAACAAACUCCGAUCAUUGACGUUAUUUUUACUAUUGUGUCUACAUUUCCAUUAAAAAUAAGGGUCACCCCGCAACAGAACACAGCUAUAACCAACUAGUUAUGACAAAAAUAGAGAAGUUCAUCAGAUAGGAGCGAAAGACUAAAUAAUUUCUAAUCACAGACAGUCAUUUGAACUAUGCAAUUGAUCAUCAUUUGAACUUCUCAAUCUUCAUAAAACAAGAAAACCAAAAACUUAUAAAAAAAACAUGAAAACAAAAAGCCUCAGAAGGAAGAAGGAAGGCAGUAGAAAUAACGUAAUCAUAAUUUUUCAUACAUUACGCAAAUAUAGUACUAAUCAUCAUUGGCUUAAAAAUUAAUAAAACAAUAAAAAACAAACAAUUUACAAAAUGAAAACCAGUGGCCUUAUAGAGAAGAUUAGAAUUAACAACACGGUUUAGUUCAGACAUAUGCUUGUCAUUAUUUAGAAUUUAAUCAUCGGCCAUAUUUUAAAAACAUAUUUCCAACAUAAAAUAAAAAAAAAUUCAAAUUAAAAAAAAAAUGGGCUCAGUUUAUGGGUGGUGAUAUAACAGAAUGGUCGGCAAGGUGAUUGUUAGUCACCGUUACGACGAACGAGACCUUAUCACUUGACAUCGUCAUUGCCCCUUUUUUUUCAGGAAACACAAAAUAAUAACGAUUCAAACAGAAUCAGAAAACAAAAAGAUAGAUCGUGAAAGAUGUAUCCAGAAGCAAAGAAAAGAG